rnacentral:rRNA from 1 species
GACGAACGCUGGCGGCGUGCUUAACACAUGCAAGUCGAACGGAAAGGCCCUGCUUUUGUGGGGUGCUCGAGUGGCGAACGGGUGAGUAACACGUGAGUAACCUGCCCUUGACUUUGAGAUAACUUCAGGAAACUGGGGCUAAUACCGGAUAGGAGCUCCUGCUGCAUGGUGGGGGUUGGAAAGUUUCGGCGGUUGGGGAUGGACUCGCGGCUUAUCAGCUUGUUGGUGGGGUAGUGGCUUACCAAGGCUUUGACGGGUAGCCGGCCUGAGAGGGUGACCGGCCACAUUGGGACUGAGAUACGGCCCAGACUCCUACGGGAGGCAGCAGUGGGGAAUAUUGCACAAUGGGCGGAAGCCUGAUGCAGCAACGCCGCGUGCGGGAUGACGGCCUUCGGGUUGUAAACCGCUUUCGCCUGUGACGAAGCGUGAGUGACGGUAAUGGGUAAAGAAGCACCGGCUAACUACGUGCCAGCAGCCGCGGUGAUACGUAGGGUGCGAGCGUUGUCCGGAUUUAUUGGGCGUAAAGGGCUCGUAGGUGGUUGAUCGCGUCGGAAGUGUAAUCUUGGGGCUUAACCCUGAGCGUGCUUUCGAUACGGGUUGACUUGAGGAAGGUAGGGGAGAAUGGAAUUCCUGGUGGAGCGGUGGAAUGCGCAGAUAUCAGGAGGAACACCAGUGGCGAAGGCGGUUCUCUGGGCCUUUCCUGACGCUGAGGAGCGAAAGCGUGGGGAGCGAACAGGCUUAGAUACCCUGGUAGUCCACGCUGUAAACGGUGGGUACUAGGUGUGGGGUCCAUUCCACGGGUUCCGUGCCGUAGCUAACGCUUUAAGUACCCCGCCUGGGGAGUACGGCCGCAAGGCUAAAACUCAAAGGAAUUGACGGGGCCCCGCACAAGCGGCGGAGCAUGCGGAUUAAUUCGAUGCAACGCGUAGAACCUUACCUGGGUUUGACAUGGAUCGGGAGUGCUCAGAGAUGGGUGUGCCUCUUUUGGGGUCGUUCACAGGUGGUGCAUGGCUGUCGUCAGCUCGUGUCGUGAGAUGUUGGGUUAAGUCCCGCAACGAGCGCAACCCUUGUUCACUGUUGCCAGCACGUUAUGGUGGGGACUCAGUGGAGACCGCCGGGGUCAACUCGGAGGAAGGUGGGGAUGACGUCAAGUCAUCAUGCCCCUUAUGUCCAGGGCUUCACGCAUGCUACAAUGGCUGGUACAGAGAGUGGCGAGCCUGUGAGGGUGAGCGAAUCUCGGAAAGCCGGUCUCAGUUCGGAUUGGGGUCUGCAACUCGACCUCAUGAAGUCGGAGUCGCUAGUAAUCGCAGAUCAGCAACGCUGCGGUGAAUACGUUCCCGGGGCUUGUACACACCGCCCGUCAAGUCAUGAAAGUUGGUAACACCCGAAGCCGGUGGCCUAACCGUUGUGGGGGAGCCGUCGAAGGUGGGACUGGUGAUUAGGACUAAGUCGUAACAAGGUAGCUGUACCGGAAGG